rnacentral:lncRNA from 1 species
AUCCUGAAUUUCACACCUUCCUCAAUGUUCCCGGUGACCAUAGAUUCAGCUCGAGGAACAAGAGUUAGAGGUUCUGUCAUCAAAAUGCAGAAGAGCCUCAAUACUACGGAUCCUCCUGCCUCACCUGGUUUCAGCUUAUGUACGUGCGGAAGAAAGCAUUUCCUAGGAGAAGCUACGACGCCGUUUCUUCCAAUCUCUCCUUCCUACGCUGCUCCAUCCACAGCUCCAAACUCAACGGUUGCUUGUAGUGAACUUUGCUGCUAAAUUAUAGAAGAGGAAUACAAUACCUAUUUUAUCUAAUUAUCUAUAUCUUCAUUUAUAUCAGGAAGUAUUGAACCAAUUGCGUCCUCCUAAGCCUGACUGGUAUUUUGAGCUCUAUGGUUAUUUUAGGAGCGCAGGGAUGGAAAGAUAUGAGAAAGAGGUUAGUGACUUCAUGAGAUUUGCAUGCAUUCUUUCUUUGUUUCUAACGUUUCAUUCUUCUUCUUUUGUCAGAUUGCUGUUUACAAGAGGAAACUCUUUGCAAAUUUGGUGGGAAAAGCAGAAACUGUUUUGGAAAUUGGUAUUGGAGCUGGUCCGAACAUCAAGUACUACAACAAUAUUCCAAACGUCUCUGUUCUUGGUGUGGAUCCAAACCCUAAGAUGGAAAGUCACGCACGCAAAUCCGCUAUAGAAGCAGGAGUGAAAUCCGAAAACUUCAAGUUCAUUCACGCGGUAAUGGCCUUCUUCAUAUUUUGUUCUGAACAAACGCGAAUCAAACAAGAAGAAAUCAUGAAAACUUAGAGAAAACGAAAUUCAAUCGAAGCAAAUACUGUUUUAGGGUUUAUAUAUUGAUUGUGUGGAUUAAUUAUUUCUUGUUUUUAUUUGUGUGGACUAGGUCGCAGAAUCUAUGCCAUUAGAAGAUGCAUCAGUUGAUGCAGUUGUUGGAAGUCUUGUGAUGUGUUCUGUCUCGGAUAUCCCUCAAACACUCAAAGGUAAAUUGUUUAACUCCCUUUAAAUCGAACAUCUUACUUCAGAUGUCAGAUCAAAAGAAAACAAUACUCAUCAAAUAGUUUGGUACAUGUACAGAGAUAAAACGGAUCCUAAAACCAGGAGGGCUUUACCUCUUCGUGGAACAUGUUGCAGCAGAAGGUAUCGCUUUCGACUCAUGAGGACUCCAUUAAUGCAUAAAGGACAUAACCCAAAAAGUUUUUUUUUUUUUUUGAGUAGAUGGAACAUUUCUGAGGAUGGUGCAGAACGUAUUGGAUCCAUUACAACAAGUUGUAGCCGACGGAUGUCAUCUAACGAGGAGCACAGAAGACUACCUUUUAGAAGCUGGGUUCAAAGGUGGUGUAGAUGUCAACAAGGUCUCUCUUUCUGCCUUUUACCACUUAAGCCCUCAUCUUUAUGGAGUUGCUUAUAAUUAAACAAAAAAAGCUGGGAAAUAUCUGAACUCAGCAGCUCAUCUUUGGACUGCACACAAGGCUUUCUUUCAUGUUUGAAAAUAUCAACGUUUUCAACUCUGUUUCUCUAUAUCUGCCUUUGAUCCUAAACUAUCGACUCAAUGGAUUGAGUCUAAGCGUUUAUGAUGUUGUGUUUGUAACUGAAUAAUGCUUCAUAAGCAGAAAAUAAUGUAUAAUUAUCAGAAAGUUUGGAACUCUGUCUUCUACUAAUAAAAAAAAAAGGUAAUUAAUCAACUUUGAAAUCUUCGAAAGAGACGUUGGACGGAACUAUAUCUUCAUCUUCUUCACUCUUAUCCUUUUUUCUUAUUAUGAGUAAUUGAGAUUUUAAACUUAGCAAUGGCAACCCUCUAUUUUGUCACCUUUUCUUUCUUCUUCUUUUUGAGUGAAUGUAAAAAUUAUUCAUCACAAAAUAUUUUUAUAAUAAAUGCUUCAAAAGUUUGGAAGGCUUGUCAUGUUCUUCACUGGUCAAUACAUAUGAAAUCUUCGAAAAGAGACGUUGCAUAAUGAGAUUACACAUGUGGACGUAACUAUAUCUUCAUCUUCUAUACUCUUGAUGUUUUUGAUUAUGAGCAAUCGAGCACUGUAAGAAAAAUGGGUUUUAAUAGCAGACCGGAAUAGCGUUUUUUUCGAUUGUGCUAUGUUAGUUAUACUCGUGUUUUAAAGAUAGCGGUUGUAUAUUUCCAAACGUUAUGUUACAGUUUCGAGUUGAAAAAUCAUAAUUAAGCGUAUGGUUUGAAGGAAGACGCUUAAUUAAUAUAGCAGAUUAAAAAUAAAAGUGUUAUGCUUGAUUACGCGGUAAUGACCGCGACACUUAGAAAUAAUUUGGCUCCUAAAACCCAAUUAGAAUCCAAAAUUAAUCCCAAAUUAGUAGGGUUUCGUUCUUCCCUCUCUCUCUUUGUUUUCGGUCUCCAUUUGUAGCCUGAAACUCAAUUGAUUAUUGAAGAAUUUUCCAUCAUCUGUUUUUUCCCGAGACUUCUACUCCUUUAAAUAUGCAAGUGAUUCUUCAUUUGCCACAGAAAAGAAUGAAUUCUAACAAAGAAAAUACUCAAGUCAUAAACAGAAGGAAACAAAUUAUAAUUUUCCAAAGAAGAGAAGAAGAAGAACAAAAGAAAAAUAAUAUACCUUUUCAGAUUUUUUUAUCAGAUUCGUCCAGUUAGCAGAUUCUUCUUUACUUUCAAACCCUGCAUAAGAAAAAAAUAUAAUCAUUAUCAUCAUGAUUAUAUCAUAUGUGUGAAUUUUUCUUAUCAAGUAGCCUAGAACAAUAAAUUUGGAACUUAUAAAAAAGUUGAGGAAAUUGAGAAGCAACACGAACAGAUGAGUGAGAAUAUUGACAGAUAAUGUGACUUUUUUGAGAUCAUGAAGCAGUUAUAGAAGAACAUGGGUCAAUUAUAAAUUAAAACCAUAAAAAAAAAUCGCAGAAAUCGUAACUAAUUUCACGUAAGUUUGGCUGAUAUUUUUUAAAAUGUUUUAUAAUAGAACAAAUAUUUUAAAUGAUGCAAACUAAGGUAAAAUAACAAAAAGAAAAUCUAUUUUGUUUGUAUCAGUUAUUUAUUGACGUAAGUUUUGUAACAUUCUAACAAAUGACGUUAGCCAAAAAUAAACACAUGUAUCAGUUAUUUAAGCGAUUUAAAAUUUUAAAAUAAUAUCAGUUCCGUUAAAAUGAUACAAAUUAGUAAAAAUUAUAUCAAUUAAUUAAACUGAUGUUAAAUCAAUUCAUAAUAACGUCAAUUGUUAUAACUGAUUUUAAAUUAUGGAUAUUUGUUUCAUUUGAGAAUAAGUAAUGUAAAAUAGUAUCACUUAUUUUUAUGAUACAACUUAAGUGAUUCAAUUCACUAUUUUUUUUGUAGUGAGAAUCCAAAAUUAAUCCCAAAUUAGUAGGGUUUCGUUCUUCUCUCUCUCUCUUUGUUCUUCACUCUCCAUCGAACACUUUACCUCCAUUUGCUCGAUAGACUCGACCUCAAUCUCUUUCAUUCUCAAUUCCUCAGCUCCAACGAUUACUCAACGUGGAUUAACUCUUAUUGAAAUCCCUUUUGAUUGAAAUCCUUUCCGAUUCCAUCGAAGGUGAACUCGGGUUUCAUCUCUUUUCUAUCCUAAUCGAUUGAAAAUCGAUUUAUCUCUUCUCUAUAACUGAUUUAGGGUUAUUGCAUGUUUAAUUGAAUCGGUGUUGCAUACUCGUUUGCAGGAACCUUUAUUUUCCGACAGCUUUGGCUUAAGGUAUUUGUUCUUUUCAAUUUCUGGGUUUCUCUUUUACUUGUUCAUUUCUGUAAAAUCUUGUAUCUUACUUAAUAACAUUGUCUUUUUUUGUAGGAGACUCUAAUUUAAAUCUGAAGAGAUUUUUUUAAGGUGAGAAAUCCCGUUCUGUUUUGCUGUUUAAUCCCUUAUUGUUUUGUUGUUCUGGCUUGAUAAAGUGAUACUCUUGUAUGUUCAUUUCAUCGGAGCUGUAUCAUGGAUAAAUCUUGGGUCUGGUUACCAAGGUAUUAACUUCACUUGUUCUUUUAAAAAAAUUUAAGUCUCAGUGUUUAGUUCUCACUUGUUUUAACCAUACAGGAAUAGCCUUGAGUAUGAGAAAGGAGCUAGUGAGUUCGUGUCUUCUUCAUCAAAACGUUUAGGUGAUCCAGAUGAAAUGUUCUGCCCAUGUGUUGAUUGUCGCAAUGUCUGCCACCAAUCUAGUGAGAAAGUUUUCGAGCACCUGGUGAUUAGAGGAAUGGAUGAGAAGUACAAGAGCUGUAAGUUUUGGUCUAAACAUGGGGAGACAAGACCUGAUAAGUCAGCUAAUGUGAUCUGGUCUGAAAAUGAGGCUUACGACUUGUUCAGAACAACCUUCAUUCGAAGUCAAGGCAGCGAAGGAUACGCAGAGGAGAAUGCUGGAGUGUUUGAGGGCACUGAUACGCCAUAAGAAGUUGAGUUUAGAAAGAAGUUAAAGGAUGCAGAAACUCCAUUGUACCCAAACUGUCUGAAAUUUACGAAGGUUGCUGCAAUUAUGGGACUUUACAGGAUAAAGGUGAAGAGUGGGAUGUCUGAGAACUAUUUUGAUCAGCUUCUGUCCCUAGUUGAUGAUCUGCUUCCCGAUGAAAACGUUCUACCUAAGUCUACAGAUGAGAUGAAGAAGUUUCUGAAACAGUUUGGUUUUGGGUAUGAUGUCAUCCACGUCUGCAAGAAUGACUGCAUUUUGUAUAGAAAAGAGUUUGAGGAUGCAGUCAGCUGUCCAAGAUGUAGUGAAUCAAGAUGGGAGAAGGAUAAGCAGACUGGUGAGGAGAAGAAAGGGAUUCCUGUUAAGGUGCUUAAGUAUUUUCUUAUUAAAGACAGGUUCAGGAGAUUGUUUAGAUCAAAGCGGUUGGCGAGGACUUGUGUUGGCACUCCACUAAUGCUUCUGAAGAUGGAAAUAUGCGUCAUCCAGUAGAUUCAUUGACUUGGGCUCAGAUAAACAACAAAUGGCCAGAGUUCGCUGCUGAAGCAAGAAACCUAAGACUAGGUAUUUCAACAGAUGGCAUGAAUCCGUUCUCUAUCCAUAACACGAAGCAUAGCACAUGGCAUGUUCUAUUAGUCAACUACAAUAUGGCUCCGACAAAGUGUAUGAGGUCCGAGAACAUCAUGUUGACAAUGUUGAUACCUGGUCCAACCGCACCUAGCAACAACAUUGAUGUAUAUCUGGGUGAUGCAGUACAUGGGACAAUUGCUUGGCCUCUAGAUAAGCUAAAACUUCCUCAACCACAAUCACCUGCUGAAUCAAACAGGAAAUCCAAUCAGGUUAGUUUGUGAAAUCUGAGAAUUUAGAUAUUGUAAUGUCGUCAAAUUGGUAGGUUGCCGGUGAUGAUAAUGUGAUUAAAUUGUUUGAGUGGUAGUCAAAGCACUGGUAGCAGCAACAGAGGUGGUAAACAGAAGUGCGCUCUCUUGGACUGUCAUGGCUUAGGACAAAGGAUUGCUUUAGGUCGGGUGUUCUCAACUGAUCAAGCAGAGAAGGUACAUUUUGUCCCUUUAGGUCCCAAUGCUACGAAGGUCUGGGAAGAGGUUUCCGAGUUCGAUGCGGCACGAGUGUGGAGGCCAAACUCUGAAAUCGAAUAUAUAGGUGAUGCAGUAGGAAGCACUGUGGCUUGGCCAAAUGAUAAGAUAGUUUAUAUCUAAGACCCUUCUUUAGCUUUUGUGUGAAGUAUGUAGUAUGAAACUUAUGUAGAGUUUGGAUGUUUGUGGAAUCUUUGAAGGUAAAAUGAAAUUUAUUUUCUGUUUUAAAAUUCAGUAAUUCGAGCAUAUAAAAAUAAAUAUAUAUAUAUAUAUAUGAAAAUGUAAAAUAAUAAUAUAUAAAAAUAUAAAUAAUAUAUAUAGCAAAUUCGUAACUGCUAUAGUAGUUUUAACCAUAAUAAACGGAAAAUGCUAUUAAUAUAAACAGAUAUAUAAAAUAUAUAGCACGUAUCUAUAAUAGUUUUAACCAUAACAAUAGGAAAACGAUGUUAAUAAAAGAAGUAAUAGCAUUAAUGACUCGCUAUUAAAACAUAUUUAAUUGCAGAAUAAAAAGCGCUAUCUUAAUGGACGAAAAGAUAGCACCACUAAAUUCCGUUAUGUAAAGUCCUUUUACCUAAUAUGACAGGCGAUGAUACAACGCUUCAAAAACCGCUAUACUAUCGUUAUAUAGCGUUUUUCGUCUGCUAAUAAAACCCAUUUUUCUAGUGGAGGUUUUUAAUUUAGCAAUGGCAAACCUCCACUUGUCGCCUUCUUCGCUGGUCAAUACAUAUGAAAAGUUUGAAAGAGACAUCAAGAGACUACACAUGUGGACGGAACUGUAUAUUCAUCUUCUUCACUCUUAGUCUUUGUUUCGAUUAUGAACAAUUGAUAUUUUUAAUUUUGCAAUGGCAACCCUCCACUUGUCACCUUAUUCACUGGUCAAUACAUCGUUGUAAAUGAUAUGUAGGUUCUUACGUAUUUAAAUUCUCUAUCUGUACAAGAGAUUUAUGUGUUUUUUGUUCAAGACAACAAAAAAAAUAUGUCCAGAAAGGUUGAUAAGAUGUGUUUUUAGUGGUUUCUGACCUCUAUAGAUAUUAAGAUAUAAUUUUAUUUGAAUUGAACUAUGGGGUUUUAUUGAGUGAAAAUGUGUAUUUUAAAGUAUUUUAAUCUAUUAUCGAGAUUUUCGGGCAGUGAGUUUUUUUAGAAAAAAUGAUCAAAUAUUUCCUCUCUAGUAAUUCCUUCCAAUUACUAUAUCUAACAGCCAAGAUAAUUACUCACACUGAACCUAAGAGACUAUAUAUGCAUUAAAUCCAGCAGUCCAUCAAAACUCUCCAACUCCCACUGAUGGCGGUAUGGACUGCUGGAGGCGAGUACAAGUGACUGUGCAAGUAUGACUUAAGGUAAUAUAAAGAUUCAUGAGCUAAGAAAAAAUGAUUCACGAGAUGAUUUACCAAAAAUAUAUUGUUCAGUUUGGGUUUUAUGCAAGUUGAUUCUCUUUUUUCGAAACUCCGAAUCUAUAUUAUCAAACUCCUUGUUAUGACUUUUAAUGCAAGUCUCCAAUUAAAAACACCACAGAUGCUUCGUAAUAAACGGAAAAUGCUAUUAAUAUAAACAGAUAUAUAAAAUAUAUAGCACCUAUCUAACUGCUAUAAUAGUUUUAACCAUAACAAUAGGAAAACGCUGUUAAUAAAAGAAGUAAUAGCAUUAAUGACUCGCUAUUAAAACAUAUUUAAUUGCAGAAUAAAAAGCGCUAUCUUAAUGGACGAAAAGAUAGCACCACUAAAUUCCGUUAUGUAAAGUCCUUUUACCUAAUAUGACAGGCGAUGAUACAAUUCUAUCUUAAGAAACUUCAAAAGCAAACUGAUGGAUCAACUUCGAACCGGUGGCAUUGGAAAACUAACCCAAUUUUUCAUCUUCCCUCAAAAAUUGAGUUUCAUUCAUCAGUGUGAAAUCUUGCAAUCAAGUGACAAACUUAUUAUGUAUAGGCAAAGUUAUGCAUCUUCAGUUGUCUUUUUUACAUCCAAUUCGACUUCUUUUGUUUUAAGUAGAUCUAAACCAUGUAAAGACUUGAUAAAAUACUAAAAUACUCUAAAACACAUACUUUGAUUAUGUUUAAAAGUAAGAAUAAAAAAACUGCAAAAGCACUGAAAAAUAUAAGAAAAUUUUAGUUUGACAAAUCUCGAGAUUUCAUUGUAGUGAAUUGUAGGAAUGUUUCGGGCAUCUGAACUCGUUAAAGUUUUUGCAGCCAGUUACUCUGAGUUGCCAACUCUGUUCCAAUUAUAUUUUUUUUACUUGUCAUUUGUGAAGCAAAAUUAGUGCAAUCAGACAGUUUAGAGAGAAAGCUUAAAUUUGACAAAUGAUGCGUUCCAUCUUCAAAUUCUAACAUUUAGCUGUAAUUCUACUGGUGUUUCAGAAAAAAAAAACUGUUAAUUCUGCUGGUAAAUAUUUCUAUUUUAGGGAUUGGAAUACUAAGUUCGAGUGUCACCUACUGCAAAAAGGAAAUUAAAAAAAAAGUUUUAUUCUGAUCCGAUAAAAUCAUGGAUUUCAAUCCAAAACUUCUAAAAUUCAAAAAGAAAAAGGUUCUAGGGCAGUUAUUAUUUAGCUUCAGCUGUGAAAAUCGAACUCAAGAAAAUAGUAUAUAACGAGGCUUUAUCCUAUAACAACCUACUAGGUAACGCGCCGGCUAUAUGUAAGUUCUCAUAAGAUUACCGUCGUUAUUAUUGUUUGACUACUAUAUAUGGCACGUAAAUACUUGACCUCUCUUGCUAGUAGGAAUAUCUAUAAUUAGAGACUACACAAAAGAAAAUCCAAAAGAAAUGUCAUUUUCAAAAAUAAAGAGAUUAAGGGGUACACGUUAAGUUAAAAAAAAAAAGCAUGGCUUUUCACUGCUUUCAGAAGAUAUGAUGUGGACUUCUAAUAGCAUAUUUAAUUCAUAUUUAUAGUAGGUGUUUAAUUAUCUUACUAAUAUUUAUUAAUAAAUAUAUUAUUAAUUUAAUGACCUACAAAAUAAUUUAUUGUCAUAUACUUACAAAAUCAAUAACAAAUUUUACAUAAAACUAUUUAUAAAUGAUGCAGUCUUUCACUAAAACACACACAUAUUUUUUAUAUAUAUUAUAAAAAUUAGAAACAAUCAUUUUAUGUAAAUAUUGUAGAAAUCUCUUUAUAUACAAUUUUGGUUGUGUUUUUUAUAAUUUUAAAUUUUAUUUUUCAUUAAUUAUCAAGAUUUUUUAAUUAUGUUUAUCUAAACAUAGCUAAUAUAUAAACUGAUAAUUAUUAGACUAUUUAAUGAUUUAUUAAUUUAGAAUUCAAUUUUUACACGAUAAAUACAUGUUCAGAAAUUUAUCUACUGAAAAAAUAUUAUUAUUUUGGAUAAUUAUACAAUAGACAUGAUUUUUAUUGUCAAGAAACGUUAUUUUCUUUUUUAGUAUUUUAUUAUAUAUAAUUCAUGUUUAAUCGUUAAUUUAUAAAAUUAUAUUCAAAUAAAUCUAACUAUUCAUUAAGGAUAACAACAUAUUUAGCCAGUCUAGCUUUUAACGUGAGAGUUCGAAUGCAAAAAAUCACUUCACAAAUAAUAGUAUAGAUUUGUUUUAGUUACAAUAUUCACAAUAAGAUUACUAUUUUUAUAUUUAUAGAAAUAAAUAUUACUUUUAUUUUUACUCUAAAUAUAAGAAAAUAUUAUUUAAAAAUUAUAUCAGAUUAAAUUUUACUUUUAUUAUAAAAUUCUUUUAUCUUUUAAAUAACAAAUACAUUGAAAAUAAUAUAAGUCUAAAACAACCAAAGGAUAGAAACAAAAGAUUACAAAUGCGAAUUUGAUAAUAUAAACAGUACAAAGUAAUAAUAUAAAAUAAUAUCAAGACUAAAGAAUGGAAAUACGUUAUAAUCGAAUUUUAGACAAAAUUAAAGUGUAAACAAAGGAAAAUAUAAAAAAAAAACUAUUUUUCGCACAUUGAAACUGGUAGACACACUAAUUUUAAGUAAAACACACAUAACUUUUUCUGUAACUGAUGGAUCGAUUUCGAACCGGUGGUAUUGGAAAGCUAACUCUAUUUUUCAUCUUGUAUCAAAAUUUGAGUUUCAUUCAUAGGUGUGAAAUCUUGCAAUCAAUUGCUAAACUUAUGAUGUAUAUGUAAAGUUAUGCAUCUUCAGGUGUCUUUUUACAUUUAAUUGGACUUCUUUUGUUCCAAGUAGAUCUAAAACCCUGUAAAAACUUGAUAAUAUACUAAAAGACUCUUAAACACAUACUUUGAUUCAAAACAUAAAUUAGAAACCGGUAAAAACACAUAUAUAUCACUCAUGUCGUUCUAUAAUUGGUUAUUGUGUACAUCUAGGUACCCCCGUUAUCACUUGGAAAUUCAAAAAGCAACAAACCGUAAGUCACGUACGGUGUAACUGGAGCAGAAAACAUAAGCAUGGCUUUGGCUACUUGUCAACUUCUUUGGUUGGCUCAGCUGCUGAAAGUAUUCAAGGUUCAUGAUCAUGGCUCCAGCAGAGUUGUUUUCUAAUAACAAAUCUGUUAAUCAUAUUGCUUCCAACCAGUUCAUUCACAAGCAGACUAAGCACAUAUAGAGAUCAAUUGGCACACAGUGAAAAAAUUGGCCAAAACUGGGGAUUUUGAAGUUGUUUCAUGUCUCUAGCUCCAAUCAACAUGAUGAUAUAUAAGGCAUUACAUCUGGGUUUCUUUCACUCCAUUGGAUGUCUAUAUAUAUAUCAAAUCUCUUUAAGCCUAUUCUACUUUAAUCGGUUUGAGGCAUAUUUCCUAUUCUACUUUAAUCGGUUUGAGGCAUAUUGAUACUAUGUAUCCGAUUGUUAAAUCUGUCUUAGUUUACCACUAGUUUAGUAUGGUUUAGUGUCUUUUUUUUUGCUUAAACCACUUAUGUAUAAAUAAUGAUCGAUAGAACCCAUAUACAUAAUGAUCGAUAGAACCCAUUUCUGAGUACCGAGAAAUAUUCAAUUACAAAUUCAUCUUCUAAACUAAUGAUUUUGAUUCUUUAUAAAAUCUUAGAUAAGAUUUUAAAUAUUAAUCGUUCCCAUUGAGACUUAAGGUGAACCCACAAGCCUAUUUAUUAAAGUGGUCCACUAUAGUGCAAACUAUUCAAGAGCCAGUAGGUCGAAAGAAAAAAUAUUUUGCUAUGCAACAAGAAGCAUGUAGGAAAGAUGUAGAACGCGCAUUUGGAGUUCUCCAGUCUCGGUUCGCUAUUGUGAAAGGACCUGUUCGUUUCUGGAAAAAAAUGUACUCCAUUAUAUUAUGACUACAUGUAUCAUCUUACAUAACAUGAUAAUCGAGGAUGAACGUGAUCUCGAGGCGCCAAUUGAAGUUGAAAGAGAAGUUCCGUCUCCAGAAGUUAAGACUGUAGGAAAUAAUAAUGCGAGAUUCCAAGAGUUUCGUUCCCGUUUCAGAAAAAUCAAAGAUAAAGAAGCUCAUUUUUUACUUCGAAAUGCAUUAGUUGAUCAUUUGUGGGGAAAUUAUACUAAUUCUAAUGAGUAAUUUAAGUUGAUGUAUUAUUGUGUUUGAGCUAUGUAAUGUAAUUUUUAAUGUAAUAAAUGUUUUCUUUAUAAACAUUGUCGAGUAUUUAUAUAAUAAAAAAUUAAUUGUGGUUAAUAUUGUAUUUAAUAUAAUUAUUACAAUCUGAAAAUGAAUUAUUUUGCAAAUAGUAUAAAUGAAAGGUGAUAUUACUAAUUUUUAAAUAAAUAUAAAAUAUAAAAUAUUAGGAAUAUUCUCUUUUGGAGUGGAAAAUGGAGUAAUACAUUAGAGUAAAACUUAACUCUAUUUUGGAGUUACUCCAUUUUAGAAUAGAAAAUUGAGUAAUACACUAGAGAUGUUGAGUCUGAGAGUUAUAAAAUAUAAUUUCUUAUUUUGAAUAAAUUUUCUCUGUGCACAUAGCCACAAACAUGUCAAGUGGAAUCAAGUAAAAGUAAAAUUGGUCCCUACAUAUCGUGGAACGCUUGACACUUGAAUGAGCAGACGGAGCCACACAAUUAAGUAUAGUUUUCCCUCGUAGGACGAGCCACAAACUAGUCAUUCUCUUCAAAACGUCACUUGUUAUUUUUUUUUGAAAAUUCCAAAAACGUCACUUGUUGAGCCAUUAUCUAUUCGUUAAUACCAAAAAAUAUUAGUAAAUAUUGUAUUUUAUUUCUGUAUUAUUUAAAUAUUCGAUUCCUCAAUUAUUGUAUUUCAUUUGAUACAAAAAUGACCAUUAAGUAUACAUCUGAAAGAGGAUAUAUUUUAUUUCAUUAAGCGCUUCCUUAAAAUGGCAUCGAUCGUUGUAUUAUAGAAUGUGGACGAGAAUCAGUUAUUAAUUUCCGGUAGUGAUACUGACCUACACUAAUGAGAAAAGACUUUUUGUGUCUUCCGGAAAUGACUUCUUGUAUGAACUGAACUGAUCAGUGGUAUGUGUUUGUCUAUUACUUAAUCUCUCCCGGUCUUUAAAAAAAAUGCGUAAUUGAUUCCACGCGUACCACUAAGAAAAUGCAUACAUAUGCAGUUGCGCCGCCCAUACACAUUGUGUUAAGAAUUUAAUUGGUUAUAUGUAUGUUUUAAUUUAUAAGUUAUAUUAGUACCUUGCAUGGGACAGUCGACCUAAUGUCUCAUAAAUUUCUUACAAUGGAAAAAAAAAUUACUUAAUUAUAUCUUUAUCGGUCUUUUAAAAUUGCGUAGUUGAUGCCACGCGUUCCACUUGGAAAAUGCAUACAUAUGCGGUUGCCAUACAAAUUGUUUGAAGAACUUAAUAGGUCAUAUGUAUGUUUUAAUUUAUAAGUUAUAUCAGUACUUUGCAUGGGACAGUCCACCUGAUGUCUUAUAAAUUUGUUACAAUGGGAAAAAGUUACUUAAUCUUCUCGGUCUUUUAAAAUUGCUAUAGUUGAUGCCACGCGGUCCACUCAGAAAUAUGCAUACAUAUACAGUUACAGGUGCGAGUUGCCAUACAAAUUGUUUAACGAAUUUAAUAGAUUAUAUGUAUGUUUUCAUUUAUAAGUUUUAUAUUAGUACCUUUCAUGGCACAGUCCACAUAAUAUCUUAUAAAUUUUUUUAUUUAUAAUGGAAAAAUUACUUAAUAUUUUUCGAUAUUUUCACAAUGCGUAAUUGAUGCCAUGCAUUAUAUACUCAGGAAUAUUUAUUAUACACGAAAAAGAUGCUCUACACAAAUUAGGGCUUUUUGCAAAAGUGACUCAAAACUUGGAGUCAAACAGAAAACUAACCUUUUCGUUUGACUCCUUUUUUUUUUGAGAUUUUAAUCCCACACCUGCAUUUUAUCUAGGAAAAUGCCAUUAACAUUUUUUUAAGUAAAAUUGUUAUAAAUAAGUAUAUUAAUAUUAUUUUACUAUAUAUAUUAUAAAAUUUACUGUUAACAUUUCUUAAUUAUAUAUAUAGGCAUCUAAUGAACUAUUUUAUGCAACAAAAUAUAUAUAAUAUAAAACAUAACAGAUCAUACAUAUAAAAAAUAAAAGAUAAGCACCAUACAAAAGAAAUAACAUAAAAUAAAUCUUAUAACAAAGAUAAUUGCUUAAUAAUCAGGUAAAUCACCUCCAUAUCCAUUAAAUUUAUUAAAGUGGUCCACUAUAGUGCAAACUAUUCAAGAGCCAGUAGGUCGAAAGAAAAAAUAUUUUGCUAUGCAACAAGAAGCAUGUAGGAAAGAUGUAGAACGCGCAUUUGGAGUUCUCCAGUCUCGGUUCGCUAUUGUGAAAGGACCUGUUCGUUUCUGGAAAAAAAUGUACUCCAUUAUAUUAUGACUACAUGUAUCAUCUUACAUAACAUGAUAAUCGAGGAUGAACGUGAUCUCGAGGCGCCAAUUGAAGUUGAAAGAGAAGUUCCGUCUCCAGAAGUUAAGACUGUAGGAAAUAAUAAUGCGAGAUUCCAAGAGUUUCGUUCCCGUUUCAGAAAAAUCAAAGAUAAAGAAGCUCAUUUUUUACUUCGAAAUGCAUUAGUUGAUCAUUUGUGGGGAAAUUAUACUAAUUCUAAUGAGUAAUUUAAGUUGAUGUAUUAUUGUGUUUGAGCUAUGUAAUGUAAUUUUUAAUGUAAUAAAUGUUUUCUUUAUAAACAUUGUCGAGUAUUUAUAUAAUAAAAAAUUAAUUGUGGUUAAUAUUGUAUUUAAUAUAAUUAUUACAAUCUGAAAAUGAAUUAUUUUGCAAAUAGUAUAAAUGAAAGGUGAUAUUACUAAUUUUUAAAUAAAUAUAAAAUAUAAAAUAUUAGGAAUAUUCUCUUUUGGAGUGGAAAAUGGAGUAAUACAUUAGAGUAAAACUUAACUCUAUUUUGGAGUUACUCCAUUUUAGAAUAGAAAAUUGAGUAAUACACUAGAGAUGUUGAGUCUGAGAGUUAUAAAAUAUAAUUUCUUAUUUUGAAUAAAUUUUCUCUGUGCACAUAGCCACAAACAUGUCAAGUGGAAUCAAGUAAAAGUAAAAUUGGUCCCUACAUAUCGUGGAACGCUUGACACUUGAAUGAGCAGACGGAGCCACACAAUUAAGUAUAGUUUUCCCUCGUAGGACGAGCCACAAACUAGUCAUUCUCUUCAAAACGUCACUUGUUAUUUUUUUUUGAAAAUUCCAAAAACGUCACUUGUUGAGCCAUUAUCUAUUCGUUAAUACCAAAAAAUAUUAGUACAUAUUGUAUUUUAUUUCUGUAUUAUUUAAAUAUUCGAUUCCUCAAUUAUUGUAUUUCAUUUGAUACAAAAAUGACCAUUAAGUAUACAUCUGAAAGAGGAUAUAUUUUAUUUCAUUAAGCGCUUCCUUAAAAUGGCAUCGAUCGUUGUAUUAUAGAAUGUGGACGAGAAUCAGUUAUUAAUUUCCGGUAGUGAUACUGACCUACACUAAUGAGAAAAGACUUUUUGUGUCUUCCGGAAAUGACUUCUUGUAUGAACUGAACUGAUCAGUGGUAUGUGUUUGUCUAUUACUUAAUCUCUCCCGGUCUUUAAAAAAAUGCGUAAUUGAUUCCACGCGUACCACUAAGAAAAUGCAUACAUAUGCAGUUGCGGCCAUACACUGUUAAGAAUUUAAUUGGCUAUAUGUAUGUUUUAAUUUAUAAGUUAUAUUAGUACCUUGCAUGGGACAGUCCACCUAAUGUCUUAUAAAUUUGUUACAAUGAAAAAAAAAUUACUUAUAUCUUUCUCGGUCUUUUAAAAUUGCGUAGUUGAUGCCACGCGUUCCACUUGGAAAAUGCAUACAUAUGCGGUUGCCAUACAAAUUGUUUGAAGAACUUAAUAGGUCAUAUGUAUGUUUUAAUUUAUAAGUUAUAUCAGUACUUUGCAUGGGACAGUCCACCUGAUGUCUUAUAAAUUUGUUACAAUGGGAAAAAGUUACUUAAUCUUCUCGGUCUUUUAAAAUUGCUAUAGUUGAUGCCACGCGGUCCACUCAGAAAUAUGCGUACAUAUACAGUUGCGAGUUGCCAUACAAAUUGUUUAACGAAUUUAAUAGAUUAUAUGUAUGUUUUCAUUUAUAAGUUUUAUAUUAGUACCUUUCAUGGCACAGUCCACAUAAUAUCUUAUAAUUUUUUUUAUUUAUAAUGGAAAAAUUACUUAAUAUUUUUCGAUAUUUUCACAAUGCAUAAUUGAUGCCAUGCAUUAUACUCAGGAAUAUUUAUUAUACACGUAAAAGAUGCUCUACACAAAUUAAGAUGCUAGAAAGUUCCAAACAAAUUAAAAAAAAUAAUAUCUUAUACAAUAAAGUUGGAUUAAGUCUUUCUUUCUGCAUCCACGUCAGCAUGGAGAAGGGGACAUUCUGCGCCACGUGUCGCCGUAUCAGACCAUUGGCGAUUUUUGGUUUUACCCGUCUUCCCAUAUUUUUUUUUGUGCUGCGAUGUAUAUAUAUGUAUCGAAUUGGGCUUUAGACUAUUGUUUGGGCUGUAAUAUUAGAUCUAAUUAUGAGGCAACAACCUUGUGCCCCAUCGCUAAGUAUCUUCCUCCCCAAAGCUGAGAACCCUAACAUCGGAGAUCUGAAACUGUUGCUGCUUGAGUCAUCCUUCCCUUUCAUAUCCAACAUUACGCUUAACAAUAGUGUCAAGCCAUCAAGUUCCUCCACUAUUACCACUAACUCUUCAUCAAUGGAGCUUCAAAUCUACCUUCUCGAUUUCACUCCACUAUUCAAUAUAUAUACAUCGCUUGAAAACGUAAUACUUUUCCCUUUCUGAUUGCAGAACUUCUGUUAAUUUCUAGACUCAUGGCGACCUCUCUAAUUCAUUUCACAGAAUUGAAGUUUGGGUAUUGUCGACAAGGCUCUUUCGAUUUUCAGAAGCCCAUAAUGUUAAGAAAGGGAGUGAACUGAUCUGUGUUGCUAUGGUCCUUAUUGAUUCGAAGGUACGAUCAUAACUAUUUUUACCUUCUUAAAACACAAUAUGAGAAUCACAAUUUUUUUUCUUAUGGUUCAUCUUUUCAUGUCACAGGCUACGGAGCUAAGCGUUCUCGAUAUUGCAUGAAGCAAUCCAACCUUCAAGUUUGCUGAAAUCCAUGUGUCAAUUAGAUUCAUAGACAAAACUGUGAACUGAUCCCCAAGGAGUGUUUUAGGUUUCAAAAAUAAUGUCACUUGAAUCUGGUGUUGAACCAAAAGGGGUCAUUGCAACAAAUAUAAAUCCAAAACUUGUCGGAGGUAAGAAACAACUCCUAGCUACGCUUGGUCCACUCUGUUAUAGGAAUAAAGUUUUAGCUAUCAUCCAAACCUUUGUGUCCAUGUUUUCAUAUGAAAAGUCCACACAAGUUUCAGAAACUUCUUGAUUCACGCUUGCUAACUAUAUAUACAUGCUAGACAGUUUCAAAAGCUCUCAAAGUAAUCACUUAUGUUGGCUGAAUUUCCUUACAGGGAGGCUGUUUCAGAACGCUACAUCUGGAACGAAUUUAUAUCUUGACAACAAGUGUGGAGCGAGCAGUAGCUUUAUCAAAGAGUAGGGUCUUUUAAACUUCUUUAUAGAAUCUUUUGCUUUAUAAUUUCUUCACGGUACUUGCGGACCUCUUCUUUAAUAUUUUCAAGACAUUCUUGACUAGGUCACUGCAAUCAAGAGCACAAUCAACGGCGGUACACAUGGGACACAACGUGUAAUUCUGUCUCUACGUCUAGAAAGGUAGCCUCAACAGUUUAAAAUCCAUUGUUUGUAAUUUUUUACAACUUUGUAUAAUAUUGUAUUGUGAAAGUGUGAGUGUUAGUCUGUUCGAUGGCCUAGCUUUUGCAUUUCCUAAGAAAUUAGAAAGCUACGGUUCGGAGCCAAAAGUUGUGUUGGUCCCUAGCAUCAAUCCCAAGGUUGUUGGAGAUAAUAUACUGAUAAUUUGUAAUGUCUCCAGCAUUAAGACACAGCUUCAUCCGAGUUUGUAGGAUUUAUUGUGUUCUCAGGCCAGUAUAUAACUAAAAAACUCACUUUCCCACAUGCAGGCCGGUUAUUUCUUAACGGCACUUACGGAACCCAUCGUUACUUUGACUCUGAAACAUCAUUGUAAAACCCAAUAAAAAAAAAUUUUUUUUUUUUUUUUUGAACACAGAAACCCAAUGAAGAUUGUUAGUCUAUUUUCUUGGGGAUGGUUAUGAAACCCAGGUCGGGCUUUUUCAAUCUUUGAAAUUAUUGGUUUUUUUAAACUUUUGGAAUAUCAUUGUAAACUUCAAAACAGAUGCUCUGGAAAUUUUAGUGUGCAUGAUUGUUUCCAUCAUACGCUGUUACAUUGUCGAGUUAGGUCAGUGUAAUUGAAUUACUUCGUCUUCAUAUGCUUACAUGAAAGGUUUACAGUGAUAUAGUUGGAAGUGUUAUUAUGUUGCUCCUGAAGUAGAUGUAAUUAAGAUGUUUGGAGUGCAAAUAUUAUUUUAUGCAUUUUGCUUCGUUGUGUCUUUUUGGGCUUUGUAAUAUAAAGCUAACAUAUUUUUUGAUUAUUUUAUUACAUUUAAUUAUGCAAUUUAUAUAUGUUUAACAAUAUUUCCGUUGUUACUAUGUAAAACUGAGAAGGGAAUAUUUUAUGAAAAAUAAAUUAUAGGCUUUCAUUCAAUACAAGUCCAACACAAAAGUUAUAGAAUAGAUUCACUACUGAUCAAAAGAAAAAUGAAUUUCAUUGAACAUUUAUAUGCAGUUUUGUUCAUUUUGAUUUCCAGAUUAUUAAUGGUUUCAUUAUAUUUAAGCUUUUUUCUGUGUAGUUAGAGUUUGGCUCAUUUUUUUUUAUUAAAUUAUUUGAUAUAAAGUGAUAUGUAACUAAAGUAAAAACAAACAAAUAAUUUGCUAUUAAAUAGAGUUCAACUAAUUUAACAGUUUGGUUCAUACUUCGAAAUAUCAUGUUUUAUUAGUUUAUAAAAUACUAAUUUUAAAAAAUAUUUUAAAUAUCAUGAGAAACAAUUUCAACAAAUAAUUUUGUUAUUAAAAGAGUUCACCAAAAGUUAUAAUAAUUUACAAAACGUAAUCAAUAAACCACUAAACUAAUUGAAAUUUCAUUCAAAUAUAAUUAUGCACUGAAACAAAUAUAUAUUCUAAAACAUCAGUUGCUGUUAAAUUAGAAAAUAUUUAAACUUUAAAUUUUUGGUCCAAUCAAUAAAAAGAAAAAGAAAAAGAAAAAACCAAUUAGUGUAAAAAUAUUUAAACUUGAAAUUUUUUGAAAUAAAUAAUUUUUACUAAUUUAAACUUCAAAUUUUCUUUUAUUAUGUCAAAUUAAAAAGAAAAAGAAAUAAAUAUGUACCAUAACAUUUUUCUGAAUCACUUUCGUAUUCUAUAUACAAAAUAAUGAAUGUUACUGUUAUUUGUUAAUUUAUUGUAUUGUUUUUUAUUUUGAAUAGUUUUUAUAAAGCUUCGUAAAAUUUUAAAAGUUUCAUAUAUAAUAAUUUAUAAAAGCCCGCCCACCACUAGUAUAAAAUAAAGAUGCACGCUAUGGAAAGACGGUUAUAAAUACGCUAUGAUGUACAAUGAAGACAUUAGAGAAUCAAACUGAAACGAGUAGUUUGAGAAAUAGCAAUGGCAAUCCUGAAUUUCACACCUUCCUCGAGGUUCCCGGUGACCAUAGAUUCAGCUCGGAGAACAAGAGUUAGAGGUUCUGUCAUCAAAAUGCAGAAGAGCCUCAUUACUACGGAUCCUCCUGCCUCACCUGGUUUCAGCUUAUGUACGUGCGGAAGAAAGCAUUUCCUAGGAGAAGCUACGACGCCGUUUCUUCCAAUCUCUCCUUCCUACGCUGCUCCAUCCACAGCUCCAAACUCAACGG